UCCUAGCCGUAAACUAUGGGUACUAGGCAAUGGGACAACUUAUGUGUUUCAUCGCCGCAGCUAAUGUGUUAAGUACCCCGCCUGGGGAGUACGCUCGCAAGGGUAAAACUCAAAGGAAUUGACGGGGGAUCACACAAGCAGUGGAGCAUGUUGUUUAAUUCGAAGCAACGCGAAGAACCUUACCAGGCCUUGACAUGCAUGGAUUAGCUUCC
rnacentral:rRNA from 1 species